CCUUGAGGGGCAAAGGUCUUCCAAUGAGAUGGCGUCAUGAAUUCAGGGCUGUCCGGAGGAGCUUGCACGGAGAAAUGAAUAGAAGUGACUUACUGCAAAGAAUCACUCUUUCCCACGAGACUUCGAGAAGACCCACUGUCACGGACUGAGUUGUGUCCUCCUAAAAUGCAGAUGUUGGAGUCCUAACCCCCAGUAACUCAGAGUGUGACCGUAUUUGGAGAGGUCUUUAAAGAGGUGUUGAAGGUAAAAUGAAGUCGCUAGGGUGGGCCCUAAUCCAGCGUGACAGGUGUCCUCAUAAGUAGAGGAGAUGAGGACACAGACACACGUGGAGGAAAGACCAUGUGGGGAAACAGGGAGAAGACGGCCGAGGAGAGAGGCCAGAGGAGAAACCAGCCCUGUCCAUGUGCUGACCUGGGAUUUCCAGCCUCCAGCAUGGUGAGACGAUGCAUCUCUGUGGUUAAGCCUCCACUCUGCAGUACUUUGUUAUGGCAGCUCUACUAGCAGACCAGUAGGUCCGUUCAUAAAUACUGUAUACUUGUUCUUGCGAUUUCCGUAACAGUCAUGGGUGACCCCCUUGUUUCCUGUGAUAAGGACACACAGAGACCCUCCAAAUUACCAUUCUUUGUUUCUUAAAUGAUUAGCUGAACUAUUUGUUCCUCCAAACAAGCUAGAAACAGAGCUAGAUAUUCCAGCUGAUUGACAGAUGCCUCCGGAUGACAUGAACAUCCCAACUGUAAAAUCACCCACACUUGGAACUGGUUCACCCCUCCCUAUGAAAGUCUAGACAAAACCAGCUGCCAGGACAGACUGGAAACCCAUCUGGAGCCCCGUCUUCUCCACCCAGGGAUUGAGACCCCUUGAGCUCGUCAAGCUCCUUCUGUGACUGAUCGGAGAUCCCACUGUGAGUCCAGCUCCUGGUCCCGUGCUCCGGAUAUCGGUCCUUGGCAGCGUGAAAUCAGCGGCUGUCAAUUGCAUAUGAGCUUUCCAAAGACUUGAAACUCAGUUUAAAAAAAAGAAAUCCAGGCAGCCAAAUGGACAGCUCUAUAAGACUCAAGCCGACAGCGGAGAGAGCGCAAUCGAACAGCCUUGGCGCAGCUUUCAGAGGAGAACGUUAUUCACCCCAACUGCUCUGCAUCUGCCUGGACGUCUGCCAAGAUCUGUGAGCACUACAGCGUUGGUAUGCUUUGGGUGAGGCCCGUGGCCAUGGCAACGAGUUGGGAGCAACCCGGUCCCUGGGAAUGAGAACAGUGGCUAAAAUCAGGCAGGCGAGGGGUAGGGAGGAGAGGUAAAGGUUGGACUUGCCUGAAGAUGGAGCCGUUUUAUUGUUGUGGGUAAAGCUGCUACCGUCAGGGGCUGUUUACAGAGUGGGUGCAGCUCAAGCUGGGAGCAUGUUAGACUCAGCGACUGCGAUCAACCUAUUGACUUGUUCCCAUGAGACAGAGUAGAUGAACUGCUGCAGUACUGGUCAGGUACCACCAGCCUCCUGUGAACCAGCCCUCAUUGAAACAUUGAUGUGAAAGGCCAUGGUGUUCCCGUAAGAGGAUGCCUGUUAUCUCCCUUACUAACUCUUCAAUAUGCCUCAUUCUCACACGCUGGUGUGCAGGAAAGAGUCCAGCAUACCCUGUUGACAGAGAUGCUCUGUAUGUGCAAAGUGUUCGAGUAGAGCACUGGGCUCAGGUUUGAAGAUGUGAGUUCUAAUGCCAGCAAGGCCAUUACCUCCCAGUGACCUCAUGUCUCGAUUUCCUCAACCACAAAACAAAGGCAUUGGUGAGGUGACCUCCAAGGCCCCUCCAGUUCUCAACCUCUGUGUCUCUACAGACUGGAGAGUAGAAGAUGAUGAGGCACUUUUAUUAGUUGAGUCUUCUUCAUUUUCUGUUUCCAUUUCUUUGAAGUCAUCAGCUGGAGUUGAGGACAAGUUUUAACAAUAGAUAGGUUUCUUUUCUUUUUGUCUCUUUUUUUAAAAAAAAAUUUACUUAAAAAAAU